rnacentral:rRNA from 1 species
GAUGAACGCUGGCGGCGUGCCUAAUACAUGCAAGUCGAGCGAAUGGAUUAAGAGCUUGCUCUUAUGAAGUUAGCGGCGGACGGGUGAGUAACACGUGAGUAACCUGCCCAUAAGACUGGGAUAACUCCGGGAAACCGGGGCUAAUACCGGAUAACAUUUUGAACCGCAGGGUUCGAAAUUGCAAUGCGGCUUCGGCUGUCACUUAUGGAUGGACCCGCGUCGCAUUAGCUAGUUGGGGAGGUAACGGCUCACCAAGGCAACGAUGCGUAGCCGACCUGAGAGGGUGAUCGGCCACACUGGGACUGAGACACGGCCCAGACUCCUACGAGAGGCAGCAGUAGGGAAUCUUCCACAAUGGACGAAAGUCUGAUGGAGCAACGCCGCGUGAGCGAUGAAGGCCUUCGGGUCGUAAAGCUCUGUUGUUAGGGAAGAACAAGUACCGGAGUAACUGCCGGUACCUUGACGGUACCUAACCAGAAGGCCACGGCUAACUACGUGCCAGCCGCCGCGGUAA